rnacentral:rRNA from 1 species
CCUACGGGCGGCAGCAGUCGGGAAUAUUGCACAAUGGGGGAAACCCUGAUGCAGCGACGCCGCGUGAGUGAAGAAGUAUUUCGGUAUGUAAAGCUCUAUCAGCAGGAACGAGACAAGACGGUACCUGACUAAGAAGCCCCGGCUAACUACGUGCCAGCAGCCGCGGUAAUACGUAGGGGGCAAGCGUUAUCCGGAAUCACUGGGUGUAAAGGGAGCGUAGACGGCUGAGCAAGCCUGAAGUGAAAGGCGGGGGCCAAACCCCCGGACUGCUUUGGGAAAUGUACGGCUGGAGUGAAGGAGGGGUAAGUGGAAUUCCGAGUGUAGCGGUGAAAUGCGUAGAUAUUAGGAGGAACACCAGGGGCGAAGGCGGCUUACUGGACUGUAACUGACGUUGAGGCUCGAAAGCGUGGGGAGCAAACAGGAUUAGAUACCCCGGUAGUC